rnacentral:rRNA from 1 species
AACAAACGCUGGCGGCGUGCCUAAUACAUGCAAGUCGAACGGGGAAAGCUUUCGGGUGAGUACUAGUGGCGCACGGGUGAGGAACGCGUGGAUAAUCUGCCUUAGAGUGGGGGAUAACUAGUCGAAAGAUUAGCUAAUACCGCGUAAGACCACAGGAGCUGCGGCUCUAGGGGUCAAAGGUUUUUCGCUCUAAGAUGAGUCCGCGUAAGAUUAGCUAGUUGGUGAGGUAGCGGCUCACCAAGGCGACGAUCUUUAACUGGUCUGAGAGGAUGAUCAGUCACACUGGAACUGAGACACGGUCCAGACUCCUACGGGAGGCAGCAGUGGGGAAUUUUGGACAAUGGGCGCAAGCCUGAUCCAGCCAUGCCGCGUGCAGGAUGAAGGCCUUCGGGUCGUAAAGCUCUGUCGGGAGGAACGAAUGCUUCCGAGGUUAACAGCCUCGGGAGGUGACGGUACCUUCAAGGAAGCACCGGCUAACUC